CAGAUACUUCUCGGGAUCUCCCUUCGCUCAGAGCCCUGGUGAUCUGGGACUUACAGCUCUUCUCAUUCCAGCUGAGAGAUCACUUUGGGUUUGGGACUCGGAAAACCUGCUCAGGGGAGAGAUAACAGGUCUCCGUAGACACACAGUCCCCAUCUCCUUGCCUUAUGGUGCCUUUUGUGGAGAGUUCUAGAAUCCUAUCCACGAACUUCAGUGUGAAUGUCUUUCACUGGCUAACUCCCUCACCCCCAAGAUAUGGCUUUCUUAUGAAGCAGUAUAAUCUGUUUCAGGGGAGCCCACUAAUGGAACUUCCCUCAGACAACAAAGACUUUUCAGGUUGAACAUCUUGGUGACCUGCCCGUACAGCUCCUUAACCCCAUGUAAUCCCACUAGCCAUAUUCUGCCUUCCGAUAUGUGGGUUGCAAAGAGUGUCAGAUGUGGCUCAUGGAUUUGGCACAGAGAUGUCCCAAAUACUGUAUGCUUGCAUAAAUGUGUGACAGUGUGUGGUGGAGGAUUAGGUUAACAUGGAUUUGGGUCACCUGAAGGGAGCAUCCCUUGUUUACGUAUGGACAGGGUGGUCACACGAUAAACAGACUGGUUACGUGACUAACAGCUGAAACAUGUAAACAGAGCCUUCUUUAAUUAAAGUACUAGUUGCCACUUUUUGGAAGCACUCCCAGAAGAGCAAUAAGUUAACUGCAGAGAAAACAGAAGCACAACACACUUCAACUCUCCUUUAUAUUUAUCAACUCCCUUAAAGAUAAUCUUGUUUAUGAUUUUAUAUAUAUAAUCAUACUUCACUUGUGACAGGCUAGAAAAGGAAAAGUUCAGCAGGAGAAAAAGAAAGGUUAGAACUCAAACAGCCAUUCAUUUCAAUUCAUAAUUAAACAGAGGGAACAAUGUACCGCUUAUUAGGACGACAUCUUCCCUGAGAAAACAUCUGCAAAACAGACUCACCUUUUAUGGGAUGCAUGUUUCUUGAGCACACAUCUGUACCUCAGAGUAAAUGCUAACAAUGUUCAUGUGUCAGUCAUUAUGGUAACAUGAUUUUCUUUUUCAUCACACCGGCCUAAUGCCUAAACUAGUUUGGAAUUGUCAAUACUGCAAUUGCUUCUGUCAUUUUCAAAAUUAGCCUAAGUUGGGUUGGUUUGUUUCUUUUUUCUCCACACACAAAUCUCUGGCUUCUUUCAUUAAUUAUUUGGGUCUUUAAUGUACAAAAGACAGAAGGAAACUUACAGGAUCAUAUUAAACAACUGAAAAUGGGAUACGUAAGAAUGAUGCAUAUUGCUUCCAUUAUGUGGGAGGCAUGGAAUAAUUAUAUACUGAAUGAGAGCAAGGUUAUAACAGAUGUGCAUGAUGAAACACAAAGGCAGCAAGAGAAUAUUACUAUUGGAAUGUGCCCUGGAGUCCAUACAGAUUCAGUACACACCAUAUAACUAGAGAUAGGUCUGAACCAAAAUCCCAGGCCUAAACACCUCUGAACUAUGAAGUAGGAAGAUUGAAAUCCAAACCACAAUCCGGAUCUAGAUUUCAUGGUGGCCUGAGAUCUCUCUAAUGGGCCAAACUAAAAGGCUGGAAAUUAACAAUCCUGAAUUUUAGGAGAGUUUGAAAUCUGGAUCUGAAUUUUGCAGCUUGAGUCCCUCUCUAUAUAUAACUAUAAUUUACUAUCUGACUAUGCUGAAACAUACAAAUAGACUGUUUCUACCACUAGAGCAUAUAUAGAGUGGGAUGUUCAGAGACACUCAUCAUUGUGCUAACUGUGCUCUCAUUGAAGUUAAUAAUAAACCUACCCGAUAUGUGUAUGACUCUAAAUGCACUGCAUUUAUAUAGCUCUUCAGUAUAAGUAUAUCGCUAUAAAUGCAUUGUAAUCACGUGCAUGUGAAAAGAUCUAUAUUAGAGAUUAUCAGGAAUUUUCUGUCAAAGUGGUUUUUUGUUAUUUUGUUUUAGAAAAUGCAUCUUUUUCAAUAUCAAAAUUUAAUUUC